rnacentral:rRNA from 1 species
GGACGAACGCUGGCGGCGUGCCUAACGCAUGCAAGUCGAGCGAUGAUGGUGUCUGAAGGUGAUGAGCUGGAAGCUGCCAUCUUAACGGCGGACGGGUGAGUAACACGUGAGCAACCUACCCUCAGCACGGGGAUAACAGCUCGAAAGGGCUGCUAAUACCCGAUGGGACCACGUCAUUGCAUGGUGAUGUGGUGAAAGGGUGGACGUAAGGUCCAUGCCGGCUGGGGAUGGGCUCGCGGCCCACCAGCUAGUUGGUGGGGUAACGGCCUACCAAGGCGACGACGGGUAGCCGGCCUGAAAGGGUGACCGGCCACAGUGGGACUGAGACACACACCACCCUCCUUCGUGAGGCAGCCGCCGGGAAUGUUUCGCAAAGGGUGAAAGCCUGCCGCAGCGACGCCGCGUGAGGGAAGGAGCCCUUCGGGGUGUAAACCUCUUUGGACGGGGAGAAGUAUGAGAUAGUACCCGUUUAAAAAACCACGGCUAAAUACGUGCCAGCAGCCGCGGUAAUACGUAGGUGGGGAGCGUUUUCUCGAAUUACUGGGGGUAAAAGGUGCGUACGCGGCCUGCUAACUUGAGCGUGAAAUUUUUGGGGUCAACCCAAAAGGAGCGUUCAAGACUGCCAAGAUUGAGUGCGGGAGAGGACGAAGGAAUUCCCGGUGUAGCGGUGAAAUGCGUAGAUAUCGGGAGGAACACACCAGGUGGGAAGGGCGACUGUUUGAAUCUGUACUGUAGCGUCUGAGCCACGAACGCUGGGGGAGUAACACGGAGUUUGAGAUCCCUGUGGAUAGUCACACGGUGUAACGCGAUGGUAUGUCUAGGUAUGGGGUGCAGAGCACUCUGUGCGUGCAGCUAGUUACACUCAAGUACGCAUGCCUGCGUGAGGGACGUAUCGGCAAGCAUUGGAUACACACUCAAAGGAAUUGAGGGCCGGCACACAGCAGCGGUGCAUGCAUGUUAUUUAUUAGCAAGCGCGAAGAACCUUCCUUAGCAGGGACAUCCACCGAACCCUGUGGAAACACGGGGGUGCGUUUCGGGGAACGGUGAGACAGAGCCCGGACACAGGUGGUCAAUGGUUGUCGUCAGAUGGUGUCGUAAGUUCCGCAACGAGCGCAACCACGAGCGCAACCCCCAGCAAUAGUUGCCAGCACUCAGAGCGGGGCACUUUAAGGGGCCUGGAGGAAAGGGGGGAGAGGAUGGUGUGGUCAUGCCCAAUUCAUUAUGGGCUUCACACGUUGGGCAACGCCCGGUACACAAAGGGGCAUACCCAGGAGGGGGAGGUAAUGUCCAAAACCGAUUCCAAAAAAAGCACCCCCAGUUAAGUUUCCAGGAUGCAACUGGCGUGCAUGAAGUUGGAAUAGCUAGUAAUCGCGGAUCAGCAUGCCGCGGUCAAUAUGUUCCCGGCCCGUGUCCACACGAGAGCUCACAACACGAGAAUCCGCAACACUAGACGACACAGGGCACAGCUGUUGAAGGUGGGGCUGAUGAUUGGGGU